UUGGGCUUUCCAUCCUACUAUACCAAGCCCCAGAGGAUUCGGCGUAGCACUCGAGGGGUGGUGUAGUUUCCUCUAUGUUCGGUUGCUCCAUGGUCGCGGCCGCUGAUUGACCUGUUCGAGGUGGGCGUGGGCGAUUGACUGCUCUUUUGCCGCUGGGAGCGCGCGGCCGUGCUGCCGUGCACAUGUUGGGGUCGACGGGUCUGAUCCCCCGUUUCUUGCUUCCUCUCAGUCUCCUAUUUUGCUGGUUUGAUCCGUCGAUUGAUUUUCUCCGGGUGGGACUUCUUCAUUUUCUUCGCCUGACCGAUUGGCUGAUGUGCCUUCUCAUGUUGGUGGAGGUGCUGUAGGAGGCGUCGGUCAGUCGUCAUUCGCCGCCCAUUAAUCCAUCUGCUGCUCCCAGUUGUACACAAACUCUCUGCUUUGUUCUUUGGCGGACACUAUGAGUGUGGGCAGCGAUUCUUCCUCUAUGUCCCAUUCUUCAUCUCCUGGUCUCCAUGUGCGCACUGCGGCUGCUCCUUCUGUUCGUAUAGCUGCUGCUACAGCUGUUUGCUUUCUGUAUGUCUACAUCUACAUCUAUUUUAGUUUUCUUUUCAUAUGUCUAAGAUUUUGUUUUUGCAGAUGGGGCCGUCCAUCCGGGAUCCCGCUGAAGCGCGGCGCUGGCGUCGAGAUAUUCGUGAGGGGAAGCGUAGAGAACCCAGCUAGGAAAAGUGCUCCCUUAGCUUCUUCAGAUUGACUUCUUCUUCUCUUUGUUUCUUUGUGAUAUUUAAAUUUUGCAUUACUGCCUCAUGUUGAUUCUUCUUUGUUUUUUUACACUUUCUGCAUUGUUGGCAUCUUCUUCUAGCGUUGUUCAAGUCGGCUGUUCUACACCAUUGCCUCCAUCAUUUAGGCCUAUUUCCUUGCUAUAGCAUAUGGAUUCUUCUUGCACAGCUGGACCAUCGUUUAUCUCUGGUUUUCGGCCUAUCAUGUGCCCAUCCCACUCUUUUUGGGUAUGUCCUGUCUCAUUUUGUUUUUCAUGAUUUAGUCAUGUUUUCAUAGGUCUUUUGCCUUCUUUUUGGUUAAUGUGCACCUUCUUCUUUAGUGCUUCCCAUGUCGUAUGUUGAUCCUGUGCAAGCUGCCUUCAAUAGGAAAAAGAGAAAGUUUCUCUGAAUGCAUCGAUCAGGCAAGACUAAAAGUUGUACAAAACGGCUCGCCAGAGGUUAAAGUAUGCUGAUGCACCAAAUCUUACAAUUCAGUUUUUGGACAUGAGGGUGCUGCUCAUGGGGAUAGAUGUUCUGGCCAAAUCUCAUUGCUGGCGAAUUGAGACCUCGGUGUCAUAAAUUUGAUGUUAUAGCAGAGGCUACUUCCGGAGAACUAGAGCAUAUCUCCUAUUUGAAUCCAUCACUUAUGCCUCUUCAGUAUCCAUUUUUGUUUCCAUAUCGUGAUCCAAGUUUUCAGGUUAGUAUUGAAUAUCAGCACUGCGGCGCCGGGCAGCUAGCCGAAGGCAUCGUCAAAAUUCUAGGCAAGCUUCUUCUUUUUCAUCAGCCCGUAAACAUGUUACCAUGCUACAGAUUAUGCUUAUUAUCUUCAUUACCGAAGAAAUGAGACCAAUCGGUAUACUUGCUGUGGACGACUCUGUCAACAAGUUGCAGCUAAUUUUAUUCCUGUGCGGAAGCAAGUCGCCUAUCUUAUCAUUUUUUGAAACAAGAUGAGCAGUAUUUUGAAACAUAUCAAGGUAUCAUAGAUGCCAUGGUUUAAGGAAGUACUACUGGAAAAAAUCUGGAUGUACAGAGUAUGUUGCAUUCCUGCUUUACCGGUGGCAAUAGUUAUAUGGUGCAAAACUAUCAUGAUGGAAUGGCUAUUUGUUGAGGGUAUGGAGCUCCAGAUCUUUUUAUUAUAUUUACAUGUUCAUAAAUGGGAAGAAAUUUGCGAUAUGCUUUCAUAUGAAAGUGGACGAUUUCAUACUGAUCGACCUGAUUUAGUUACAAGUGUUUUAGUUUGCUUUCUUUAAAAUAUGCUCCUCUUUUAGAUGUGAAGACAUCUUAAGCUCUUUUGUCAAGUCGAUCAUGUAGGGAGGAGUAAAUGAAGGAGUUGUCCCAAAAGAUAGAGUGGAGCAGUUUAAGAAAAGCAUCAGUGAGGGAUCGGUGUACAAGAUUCAAAACUACCUCAUAGAAAGGCCCAAAAAUACUUACAGAGCAACAGAUCAUCCACAUAGGCUCUCCUUCAUAAAAACAACAAAUGUUACUCCUAUUGUUACCCUGUCAGUAGGUUUCCCCUUACUUACUCAUAAUGCAUUACCAUUUUCAGAGCUCGAAAAACAUAUUGGAUCGAAGGAGCUGAUGUCAAGUUACUCUUUAGCUAGCCUUCUGCAUAAGCUUUAAGUAUAUAUGCGAUUCUGAUUUCAACUAAUAUUAUAUGUGUCCAAAUUGCUAAAUAUUAUUGGUCCGAUGGUUACCGUUAUCGACUAUUGCCUUCUACUGGUGCUGCCAAGGAACCAAGGUGCCAGAUAACUAUCAUUGAUGGAAAAUAUGUCUCUCAUCCUCUGGCUUUGUGUGCUCACCAUCUUUAUACACAUUAUCAUAUUGUAGGACAAACAAUUACUUCAUUACAAACUUUAAUUUCUGUAGAAAAAAUGCGACUGUCACGCUUUUGGGUGAAUCUGCACAAAAAUUUGAUGCAGAGAGUUUAUGCACUUUAUCAAAGAGAGAACCAGUUAUCAUAAUGUUUGUUCUCAUGAUGCUCGAUCAGUAUGCAGGAACACCAUCUACAAGAUGACACGUAAAUGUUGAUAUUCCCAGGAUGAAAGCAAUGUUGGACAGAGUCAGAAACCAACCAUACGAAUUGAAGUACUCAAUCCCGGACAAACUCCGUGGGAGAAAGUGGAGACAACCAUCAGUUCCCUAGAAGGAAUAGACCCUGCUAACACUCUGAGAACUUGGUUCAAAUUCAGAGUCAAAAUAACUCAAAUGGUAUCUAUUACGGACUGGAUGUAUAUGGAUUGUAAAAUUUGCUGGAAAGGACUAUAAAUGACAUACGACAGUCUACGGAAGUGCCCUAUCAGUCCUGAUGGAGGAGAACCCUGGCCAAGGUGCCCUAUCUGUCCUGAUGGAGGAGAACCCUGGCCAAGAUAUAAGAUAAGAGUACAUGCAAUGGACGACGGAAGCAACGAUGAAGCAAACACAACAUUUGCUGAAUUUUUAUUCUUUGAUGCACUUGUUGAAAAAAUAGCCGGCAUCACCGCAUAUUGUGUAGAAGCCCACAAAAUAGGAAAGACUAACUACCUUCCACCCGAACUGGAACAACUCCCUAGCAAAAGAUUCAUUUUAACA